rnacentral:lncRNA from 1 species
GAGGUUUGUGGGUAGUGUGGUCCAGAGACAGCUGACAGAGAGAAGCAGGUGAGUGAUGGCUGGAAGGAGACGCAGCCGACAGAGAGAAGCAGGCGAGUGAUGGAUGGAAGGAGAAGCAGCUGACAGAGAGAAGCAGGUGAGUGAUGGCUGGAAGAGGAUGCAGCUACCAGUGAGAAGCAGGUGAGUGAUGGCUGGAAGAGGAUGCAGCUGACAGAGAGAAGCAGGUGAGUGAUGGCUGGAAGAGGAUGCAGCUGACAGAGAGAAGCAGGUGAGUGAUGGCUGGAAGAGGAUGCAGCUACCAGUGAGAAGCAGGUGAGUGAUGGCUGGAAGGAGAUGCAGCUGACUGACUGCAGCUCCACACCAGAUAUGUGCAUGAAAGUCAAGAGGAC